UCAAAGAACACACCCUUACUGGUGUGUCAGAGUUGGGCCUUUUUCAUUUUGCUUUGAAGGAAUGCCUUCUUAUAGUGAAACUAGGGACUCAAACUUCACAGUAAACCCAAGGCAGCAAUAUGGGUCACGUAACAAAAAAACUAAAAAAUAUAUUUUUAUCAAUACUCAGAAAAUGGAAAAGCCUUAUUCUGGCUGUUGGAAUGGCAAAAUAAAUAACUAUACUGGGCAACUGUCCUUUAACAUGCUUCAUGGGGGAACAGGAGGUUGGUAUCCGGUAGCAUAUUAAGUAAAAUAAUGAAGUACAAUAUUCUUUAAUACUGACAUAUCAGUUUACACUUGAGUGGGAAUAGUGGCGCAAGGAAGUCAAGUGACUUGCCCAAGGUCGCACAACAUGUUGUCGGCUGAGCUGAGAUUUUAAAUUCAGUAUCGUCCGUUUUCAGCUCUUCUGUUCUAACUUCUUGCAAAUGUUAAAAAUUCAGGGCGAAGUGAUUAACGUGUUGUAACAGGUAGCAAACUAAAAUUAAAUGUAUCAUUAGUGUAGGAAAAAAAGUGUAAUGCAUAAAAUGCAAGAAAUUGUGGCAGCAUGUUAAUGGACUUAAUCUUUGCAGUGCCAGGACUGUAUUUUACAUUUUUUUUACUGUAUUUGCAAGUGAAUAUUGGUAUGAGAUAUGGCUAUGAGACAUUGCUGUAAGGCAUAACUUAAGAGAUAUAUAAGGACUGUUGUAAGGAAUGUUUUAUUAAAAAGUGUUUAUAAACAUUCUUUAAGGUUAAACAAUGCUUUGAAAAAUGUGAAUAAACUAAUACCGUAUUACUUUGAAUUAAUGCUGCAGAGUUUAUUUUAAAUUACUUAAAACAGCUGUGCCACUGAUUCAAGGGCAGCGUUAAUUAGAAGUACUAUGGUUUUCGAAAGGUGCAAUUUUUUUAUUGUGUUUUUUUUUUUUUUUACGGUAUUUGAGGGAGGCGUAUAUUGAAGUUUAUUUCCGUGGAUACAACUUGAUCAGGAUGGCAAAGAAGUCCUACAACUUUAAACUGAAAGCUGUUGAGCUCGCAGAUCAGAUCAGUGUUUGACUGGGUGAGGACACAUACCAGUGUAGCGUGGAGAGGGAAAUUAACACCAAGGAGCCAGCAAGACAACUAAACACUCCCGGUCUCCUGAUCCAGGCAGGGCUUCGGUGAGGAAGAUGAGUUGAUCCCGUGGUUAUCCCCUAAACAGCAACGCCACAGCGACAGCUACACUAGCUUCUGCUCCCCAUUGACACUCCAAAACGCUGCACCCCUCACUCUUCGAACUUCCUGCCUGGGCCAGGAUUCUGCAGCGUCUCUUAUUAGCCAAAAUACCGUACAUACAACCAAAACAGAAAUGCAUUUAAGAAACUUAGUAGCAUUGCUUUUUUUCCCUGUAUAGUGCCCAACUCCUCAUUAAAAGGAUAGUGACUCUACGGAUCUUAUUGAAGGGUAGCAUUUAGAAGAUAAGUUGUUAGAUGGGUAAUAAAGUAGGAAAUGAGCAACGGGAAAAAAAUUACCACAACACUGCUAAAACUAACAAGUCCCAGGUCAGGCCAUCUCUGUCUAGAAUGAUACUAAUAUAUUACAAAAGACAACUGAAAUACAUUUUACAUGUUAAUGUAGACUAUGAUUGAUCAAUGUACAAUAAUAUCCCUUUCUUUGCCUUCCGCCAUUAGGAGAGAGAGGUCUGCAAUGUUGCCCCAGUCAGCCUCUCUCUUUUAUAUGAAGGCUGCUGCUGUGGCUGAGCCUGUGAAAUGACUCUGUGACAGCCGGCCAUUAAUUACCAUCAUCCAAGCCUAAUUCAUUCAUCCCUUUCUCUCUCAUGCAGAGGGACAGAUAGGUCUGAGGGCACUCAGGAAAAUGUAGGCAUGAUUCCAUAUUCUUUAUGCAGAGAACGCUGCCUGCUACUUUGUCGGUUGCAGUGGCUAAUUGAAUUGGCUUGUCUACAAAGCCGUUGUCAUUCAGUAAGUAUAAUUUGUUGUAUUACUCGCAACACAGCUGCUUCAAACAGCCAGCUAUUUCCUGAAGGCAAAGCAGACCUAUGCUCCAUCAAAACUUUAAUUGAUACAUAAUGCUCUUUAUAAUGCACCUGAAUGCUGUUCUGCAUGUCACAACAAUAACGGUGCCCCCUGGCCAGUAAGGGAGGAAGGCUGGGCCUUGUCCAUUUGGUGCCUCCAACAGGUGUGUGAUAUUCAGCCAGUGGAGAGCUGACACAUGCUUUUGUUUGUACUGCCUAAUGAAAGCUUUCCACAAAACACAGACCCUGACUGAAUACAAUAGGUACAAGAGUCCGGCAAUUAAUGUUGUUGUAGAAACCUGUGUGUGUGUGUUUUUAUGAACAAUGUUGUUACAUGUACGCAAGGAACUGUUCAAUACUUGCAAUCAAAGCACAAGCAGCUGCAGGUCAGGAUAAAGGCGCAUGAGGAAAAUAUUGGGCAUGGUUGCUUCAGAUGCAAUAGAGGUAAAUAUUUCCCCACUGGCCAGCCUUAAUGUUAAAUCUUUUAACCUAGUUUACAUUUAGGGCAGGAAGAUUUUGGAGAUUGUGACUUGCAUUUAGCGCUCAUUGAAGGAAAGUUUAUAAUGUCAACCUUAACCAAUUUGGUGAUGGCAUCAAUAGAUACAGAAUAUUAAAAUCUGGAACAAAACCCACAGCAGUUCAUUAUAGUGAGCUAUAACAUUGCCCUACCCUGUGAUCUGUGUGGCUCGACUCAUGCCAGUAACUCAAACAUUAUACAAGUUAAACAUUAGGGUGUGCACAAUGUGCAGUAUGUGACCUGGACUCCUUAAUUGCAGGGCUUAAGAGCAAACAAGAUAAAAAGAGCCAUUAUUCACUGCCUUGCCCAUUUACCACAUUAAGCUGGAAAAAUAAUCAAAGUACACAGGAUGCAAUGACCACAGAUUCCCUUUAGCUAUUUUCAACAAUUAACCUUUUAAAGUCUGAGGAAUGCAUAAUGAUUGAGAAUUGAUAUAACAAGAUAUAAUGCUGCUUAACUAACCCUCUAAAUUACUGCAGCUAUGGCCAAACGUUUUGCAUCACCAUAUAGAAUUAACACAUUUUGCUUCAUAAAGUUGAAUGAAACCUGCUAAAUAAUGUUACAUUAACAUAUUAAAUUACAUAUCGCUUUGUUGUUUUCAAUAUACUUAACGAAAAACUGACAAAAAUGUGAUAUUUCAAAAUCAAACUGAAAUACUGUACUACUAUUAUGGCUUCUGGUAUACUUUUGCUAUACCAUUUUGUAGUUUCUUUGAUUACAUGCUGUCAAAUAAAAGAUCUACAUGUUCAUAGUUUUUUUUUUUUUUAAUUAUGUCUCAAUCCUAAAAUUCUGGUCAAAACUUUUGGCCAUAGUUGUAUGAAUGUUUAAAUCUUUUGUAUUAUUUGCCUUUUAGUUUUAUCUUUUCCAAUUCCACAUUCAAACAGCAUUAAAGUAAAGUGGUGUACAACAAAAGCUAUACUUUAAAAAUGUGUAUUUAGUAACAUUUUGUAAAGAAAAUGUAUUUGUAAAAAAAAAAAGUGUUGCUAUGUAUAGCAGAAAUGGUGUUGUCUUUUUGGUAAAAUAUAUGGGUGGCACAUUCUUUCUGAGUUCAAAA